rnacentral:rRNA from 1 species
UACAUGGGGUGCAAACGUUGCUCGGAAUCAUUGGGCGUAAAGCGCGCGUAGGCGGUUACUUAAGUCGGAUGUGAAAAGCCCUCGGCUUAACCGAGGAAGUGCAUCCGAAACUGAGUAGCUAGAGUACUAAAGAGGGUCGCGGAAUUCCCGGUGUAGAGGUGAAAUUCGUAGAUAUCGGGAGGAACACCGGUGGCGAAGGCGGCGACCUGGGUAGAUACUGACGCUGAGGCGCGAAAGCGUGGGGAGCGAACAGG